GUCCUUAGUUACCAGCACGUUAUGGUGGGCACUCUAAGGAGACUGCCGGUGACAAACCGGAGGAAGGUGGGGAGUGACGUCAAGUCAUCAUGGCCCUUACGGCCUGGGCUACACACGUGCUACAAUGGUCGGUACAAAGGGUUGCCAAGCCGCGAGGUGGAGCUAAUCCCAUAAAACCGAUCGUAGUCCGGAUCGCAGUCUGCAACUCGACUGCGUGAAGUCGGAAUCGCUAGUAAUCGUGAAUCAGAAUGUCACGGUGAAUACGUUCCCGGGCCUU
rnacentral:rRNA from 1 species